CUGCAAGCCUUGAAAAUGAGCGAAAAUUGCCAAUUUUGGUCUCAGAAUCUUAGAAAAAAAUAUCAAAUUAUAAAAUUAUAGGGCAACAACUGCUCAGGUACGUUCAGGGCGACCUCUUGCACGAGAAAAAUGAUAAUAGCAAUUAAUGGAAGCCAUGAAGUCUUAGCAGGAGAGCUGCAGGCCUUGAAAAUGGGCGAAAAUUGCCAAUUUUGGUCACAGAAUCUUAGAAAAAAGUAUCAAAUUAUAAAGUUAUAGGGCAACAACUGCUCAGGCGUGUUCAGGACGACUCCCUGCAUGAGAAAAUCUUCGCCAGCAAGUGAAGGAAGUAAUAGACUCUGCGAAGAGAGCAAUCGACAAUGAGGACAAAGUGCUAAUUUGCUGCCGUAUGUCAUUUUUGUUUAUGAUUUCAGAAAGUUUGUCAGUGUCAUUUCAUCUUGUUAUUUUAUCAAAUCAAUCACUUUUUAUACCGUAACACAACAGUUUUUUUGCAGUUAAAUACCAUUGAUAUCUGCAACAAACAAUUCGCUAGUAUUAUAAAAUCAUCGUAAUGGCAACUGAUGUUCUCUCUGUAUAUUAAGGCAGAAGUUUUUUCCAUAAAUUACCUCAUCUUUUGAUGACAAGAACUUUUUUUCCAUGUUUUGAUUCACAAGCUCACAGAAUCCUGAUCAGUAAUUAUUCAUCAGUCAAUAAUAAAGUUUUACUUUGGUUUUGAUCAAAAGUUCUUUUGGAACAAAUAAUAAACUUUUUAUUAAAACAUUACUGUGGGGAUUUUAAUUUUAAUUGCAAUUAGACUUCUGUUGCCUGUUGAUUAUCAGAGGGAUCAAUGCCGACUAAAUUUGUGCAGAAACUUUCAACAAUUUGAUAAUAAUAAAAUAUUUAUUUUCUUAUUGAUAUUCUCAAGAGAUCCAAGAGCUCGAGGACUGGGUUUAGAAUUUUAAUUAAGAAAUUUACUGGCAUUGGAAUUGAUGAAGAAAAAUUUCAUAUUUUUUAAGAGUGAAGUGUAUAAAUUAACGAAAUAGCAACUGCUCUGAUAUAAAAUAAUAUGAUAAAGGAUAAAGAACAUAAAGAGCAGAGAACAAGGUAAAAAUGGGUUAAAAAAAUGAAAAGAAGAAAUGGUGGGAUCGUCGAGUGGUAACGACUUGCUCCACUUUGUGUGAAAACCGGGCAAUUCAGUGUCUGCGAGGAACGAAGAGGCGAAGACCAAAAGAACUCUGCAGUCUAGCCGCGAGCGAUUGGGAAUCGGGUUGUCAUUGACUUUUACGACUCCUCCAAGUUGAGUGGAGUAUGAAACAGAAUGAACAAGAAUCUCUACUCGACUCUCUUUUCAUUUAUUUUCCUUAAUUCUUUUCAUUCUCAUUCUCAUUUUAUUUUAUUUUUUUUAUCCGCGCUGCUUAUCAUUACACAAAAUCUUCAAUAUACUCAACUAAACCGACUUGCCCACAUAAACACACAUCAUUUUCCUAUCUAUGUAAUUUAUAAAAUAUAUAUAACAAUCAAAAUAUCAAACUAUCUCCAAUCACAUUCAUAUAAAUUUAUUAAUCACUUUUUUUCCAAGAUGUCCAGCAUCAG